rnacentral:rRNA from 3 species
GAUUUCUGGUUUAAUGCACCUGGCCCGCAGCCUCUAGGCUUGUGAGUGCCGGCGCGCGUUUACCAUCCUUCUAGAAAUCGGUCUUGCCAUUAACUUGGUGGGGUCGAGAACUAGAUCUUUUACUUUGAAAAAAUUAGAGUGUUUAAAGCAGGCUUUUGCUAUGAAUACAUUAGCAUGGAAUAAUAAUCUAGGACUUCGGUUCUAUUUUGUUGGUUUCUAUAACUGAAGUAAUGAUUGAUAGGGACAGUUGGGGGUGCUAGUAUUGGCCGGCCAGAGGUGAAAUUCUUGGAUUCGGUCAAGACUAACUUAUGCGAAAGCAUU